rnacentral:lncRNA from 1 species
ACACAGUUUUCUAGUUAAUCUACUUAUGCAAUUCUGUAUUCUCCUGCCUGACCUAAUUUCAACAUGAGGACAAUGCAAUUAGAAUAAAACUGCAGCUAGAAUAAAGAAAGAACAAGUCAAGAGGUACUUAUAAAGCCCUUCUUUGUUUUGACAGGUAUUUGUGAACUUUGCCAAGGACCAAAGUGAUGAUGACCACUUAAAGGACUUGUCAUUACACAAAAACCAGACAGUAGUGGAUGUUUCAGUUCUCACAUCUUUUCUACAGGACGAGAAAGUGAAAGAAAGUUAUGUAUGAAGAAUGUCGUUCAUACUGGAUGGCUGAACAUAAGGAAGAACGAGAUCUUCCUUUACACUGUGUGAAGUGUUCCAGAGGAACAGGCUGGAAGUUUUUGUGGGAAGAAGUAAACUGGAUACUGUACUGAUACUAUUCAAUGCAAUGCAAUUCAAUGCAAUGAAAACAAAAUUCCAUUACAGGGGCAGUGCCUUUGUAGCCUAUGUCUUGUAUGGCUCUAUGUGAAAAAGACUUGAAUUUAGUUUAUUACCUUUACCUAUGUGAAACUCUAGUAUGGAACCCAGUGGACAUUUGGGUUUGAAGUCAUACUUUUUUGUUCCUGUGUAUCCUCACUGGGAUUGCAGCAACAAUUCAUCAAAUAACCAUGGCCAGUGAUUAUCAAAAUCAAAGGCGUACAUCCUCAUCCAUUAAGCCAUCCCAUUCCAGGAGACCGGUUUCCUGGUGACACAACCAUUGCUGGCAAUGAGUGUGCCAGAAUUACUAGUGCCAAGUUGCUCAGAAAGUCUGAAACACCAUAGUGUGUAACAUACACCUUUGUAAAGCUGCUCUUCUCAGAGUCUAUCAACAUCAUUAAAUAUCAGGUGACAAAAUGGUGCCAUGUACGGCUAACGUCCUUCUUUGAGUCCCUUUUUGAUGAGCUGCUUUGGUGGCUGUAAUAUGUAAAGUAUGGAUAUCUCUACACACAGGAAACUUGGUUCCAUUGUUAUGUUGCCCCAUUCUUGGGAGCCAUGGGUUUCUAGGGUCUUUCUGGGACUGUUUAAAUCUACUUAGAUCCUGGUAAGAAGCAAAGGCUCAGCAGCCAAACUGUUGGAACUGUAAGUUGCUGAAGUCAAGGCAUGGGAUUAAAGAGAUGGUGUAUUCAAACCUAGUGCCCAUUUGUCCUGAUUGCUAACACGGUACACUGCAUCUCAAAAAUUUUGUUAUUUGACACAGGUGUAGUAUUAUUUCUGGCUUUUCGAAUUAAUCUAGAAAUGAAAAGAUUGAGUUAUAUUUUGACAAAAAUCUUUGUACUAUUAUGUCAUUUGGAAUUUUCAGUUAUAUCAGUGAUUUCUGAAACCUUAGAAUGACCUCUUUUAGGACCUGUGGUAUAGAGGAGUAUGGUCACACUGCCUCACUAGCUUUAUUUUUCCUAUACAAAUUUGCAGAUAGAAUGUCUGACUAGUGCCUAGUGACUAGAAAACAACAUGGUGGUCAAGAUCUCAUGAUAUUGUUGUUGAAUUUAAAAUCACGUAGAAUACUCUUAAAUCAGUUCAUCAAUCAAGUAUUUUUUGAGUAUAUGCUAUAGCUGAAUGUGUACGUAUAGAUGGAUGGAUAGAGAGGAGAAAUUAAGAAGAGAAAUUAAGUCUCAGUAGAUUUCCCAUGCCAUGUUAUUCAGCUAACUGGUUUACAAAAGAUAGGUUGUUUUAUUGUGAUUAUGGAAGCCCACUUAAAGAAUAUUGGCUAGACUUUUUUUUUCUUUUAAUAGCAACAGUGCAAAAGCCAGAAAAGGUCGCAAGGCUGAACAAUGGAUUCUUUCAAAGAGAAAUCAGCUAGCUUGGGAACUUGUUGAAUACAACUUGUACUUAUGACAUUUAGUACCUCCACAUAAUUGGUUCUGCAGAAAUGUUAGACACCCCAUUAAAUCUCUGACAAUCUCAAAUUUUGCAUCUCUUUAAUCAUUAAACUAUCCUGAAAAAAAUAAAAACAGCAAAUGCUUCCACAAAGAAUAGUUUUCAGACUUAAUCUUAUUUUAAUUUUUAAAUUAAAAAUAUUAUUUCACUAAUGCUCAGUGUCAUCUUUCUUGAGACAAAACAAAAAUAUGAGGGAAUUGCUAUUUGGCAAAGUUCAAGUGAACUUUCAAUAUCAUCAUUAAUUUAUUUUAACUAUUUCUAAAAUUUAAAUAUUAACUCUAAAGGUAUACAAUUUCAGAUAUAUUUCAAAUGUGUAUGUAUAUAUAUGUGAAUAUAUAUACAUAUAUAUUUAGAUUCAUAGACUGUUAAGUAACUCCUUGCUUUAAAAGAAAAAUGAUUUUCAAAAAAUUAAUGUCAUUAUUUUCUAAAAUGAUAAAGCAUAUUUUCAAUAACUGUUAGCAUGAGAUUACUACAUUCAUGACAUUUUCAAAGAUAUAAGAAUAAUUUAGUUUUUAAGAAUAAUUUAGUUUUUAAGAAUAAUUUAGUUUCUCAUUAAUUUUAAAAAUAAAAUAAAAAUCUGGUGGUUUUCUCAUUUCACCAUGAAUCACUCUCAUUCAUGAUAUUAAAUCCAUGAGUGACUCUUUGCUUCUAAUUACUCUGACUUCAAGGUCACAUUUUAAAACUUCAAAGGCACUGUGAACUAUUUUGAGAAAAAAAAAUUAAAUGUAGAUUUAAAAGAGUCUUUCUGAAGCUAGAAAUAAUAUACAGUUCUACAUUAACUUCAUUGUUAUUGUGUUACCUUUUAGACUAUCCAAAUAGUAAUCUUAAAGUUCCCUGUGUAAACUUAAUUAUGGUAGAAAUUUUUACCAACUCUAUCCUUAGAUAAAAUUUCUGUAUAUUAACUGUGGAAAUGUAACUAUGUGAGUUUCAUAAAUUCUCAAAAAGUGUUCAAAGAUUUCUGCUCUUGCAUCUUUUGGAUACCUUGGAAAACUUACUAACUGUGAAUAUAAAAAAUACAAAAGAAAAUAACAAGUCCUCUCUAUAUAAAUACCCAGCACUAUUCAUUGUUAUAAAACAAACAACCAAACCUCAACUACUGUAUUUUGAUAUCUGUACUGAAAGCAUUUCUUUGUGACUAUUAAAUGUUGCACAUCAUUCAUUCACUGUAUAGUAAUCAUUGACUAAAGGGAUUUGUCUAUGUUUUCUUCUCAUGGUUGUAUAUAUCAGGUAAAAUUUUUUCCAAAGAGCCAUGUGUUAUGUAAUAAUGAACCACUUUGAUACUGAGAUAUUAAUUUGUAUUUACUAGUAAUAAUGUAAUACCAUAGUUAAUACUGCUCUAAUUCUUUUCAAAAUUGUUGCAUCCCUUUUUAUAGAAUGUUUAUAUUUCCAUAAGGAUUAGGUAUGCUAUUAUUCCUUCUUAUACCCUUGGGUAAAGCUGUUUUUGUGCUUUUUCUUUAUCAUUGGCCCUUCAUUCCAAGCACUUUAUGCUAUCUGUAAUGGAUCUAUUUUUGCACUGGAAUAUCUGAGAAUUGCAAAACUAGACAAAAGUUUCACAAUAGAUUUCUAAGUUAAAUCAUUUUCAUUAAAAGGAAAAAAAAAACAAAAAAAUUUGUAUUGUCAAUAACUUUAUAUGAUGUAUUAAAAAGGCUUAUUUCUAUGUUGUAUUGAGUCACGAAAUAAACCUGUG